CAAAGGAGGCGACUCCGGAGACGGAUGGGCAUGCGUGACAUUAGCUUGUUGGCGGGGUAACGGCCCACCAAGGCGACGAUGUCUAGGGGUUCUGAGAGGAAGGUCCCCCACACUGGUACUGAGACACGGACCAGACUCCUACGGGAGGCAGCAGUGAGGAAUAUUGGUCAAUGGGCGAGAGCCUGAACCAGCCAAGUCGCGUGAAGGAUGACGGCCCUACGGGUUGUAAACUUCUUUUGUCAGGGAGCAAUUGGGUCCACGUGUGGGCUUAGCGAGAGUACCUGAAGAAAAAGCAUCGGCUAACUCCGUGCCAGCAGCCGCGGUAAUACGGAGGAUGCGAGCGUUAUCCGGAUUUAUUGGGUUUAAAGGGUGCGUAGGCGGAAUAUCAAGUCAGCGGUAAAAAUUCGGGGCUCAACCCCGUCGUGCCGUUGAAACUGAUGUUCUUGAGUGGGCGAGAAGUAUGCGGAAUGCGUGGUGUAGCGGUGAAAUGCAUAGAUAUCACGCAGAACUCCGAUUGCGAAGGCAGCAUACCGGCGCCCAACUGACGCUGAAGCACGAAAGCGUGGGUAUCGAACAGGAUUAGAUACCCUGGUAGUCCACGCAGUAAACGAUGAAUGCUAAUUGUCCGGAGGGAUUGACCUCUGG
rnacentral:rRNA from 1 species